ACUCAAAUGAAUAGACGGGGGCCCGCACAAGCGGAGGAGCAUGUGGUUUAAUUCGAUGAUACGCGAGGAACCUUACCCGGGCUUGAAUUGCAGUGGAAUGUUGUGGAAACACAACAGCCUUCGGGUCACUGUGAAGGUGCUGCAUGGUUGUCGUCAGCUCGUGCCGUGAGGUGUUAGGUUAAGUCCUGCAACGAGCGCAACCCUUACACUUAGUUGCCAGCAUGUAGUGAUGGGGACUCUAAGUGAACUGCCUACGCAAGUAGAGAGGAAGGUGGGGAUGACGUCAAAUCAGCACGGCCCUUAUGUCCGGGGCUACACACGUGCUACAAUGGUCGGUACAGAGGGCAGCUACCACGCAAGUGGAUGCAAAUCUCAAAAGCCGAUCUCAGUUCGGAUCGGAGUCUGUAACUCGACUCCGUGAAGUUGGAUUCGCUAGUAAUCGCACAUCAGCCAUGGUGCGGUGAAUACGUUCCCGGGCCUUGUACACACCGCCCGU
rnacentral:rRNA from 1 species